UACGUAGGGAGCAAGCGUUGUCCGGAAUCAUUGGGCGUAAAGCGCGCGUAGGCGGCCUCAUAAGUCCGUUGUGAAAGUCAAAGGCUCAACCUUUGAAAGCCGAUGGAUACUGUGAGGCUAGAGUCCGGAAGAGGCGAGUGGAAUUCCUGGUGUAGCGGUGGAAUGCGCAGAUAUCAGGAAGAACACCAACGGCGAAGGCAGCUCGCUAGGACGGAACUGACGCUGAGGCGCGAAAGCGUGGGGAGCAAACAGG
rnacentral:rRNA from 1 species